rnacentral:rRNA from 1 species
GACGUAGGGCGCAAGCGUUGUCCGGAUUUAUUGGGCGUAAAGAGCUCGUAGGUGGCUUGUCGCGUCGACUGUGAAAACCCGCGGCUUAACUGUGGGACUGCAGUCGAUACGGGCUAGCUAGAGUUCGGUAGGGGAGACUGGAAUUCCUGGUGUAGCGGUGAAAUGCGCAGAUAUCAGGAGGAACACCGGUGGCGAAGGCGGGUCUCUGGGCCGAUACUGACGCUGAGGAGCGAAAGCGUGGGGAGCGAACAGG